rnacentral:snoRNA from 2 species
AACCUCUCAGGGUCACACCUGAGAGUUUCUGGUACUCUACCAGUCUUGACUACGGGAGGGAGAGUCAAGCAGAGGCAUAUCCAUUCCAUUCCAAGCCUGGGCAGUGGCUAGCGAGUGGAAGGCAGUCUGCUAUAAAU